CUCCCCUGGUGCCUGAGCCCGCCCGCACCGGGGCCUGGUGGGGCGCAGGGCCCGCCCCCUUGGGGACCCUGCGGGCCUCCUCGGGCGCACCCGGGCGCUGGAAGCUGCACCUGACGGAGCGUGCCGACUUCCAGUACAGCCAGCGCGAGCUGGACACCAUCGAGGUCUUCCCCACCAAGAGCGCCCGCGGCAACCGCGUCUCCUGCAUGUAUGUUCGCUGCGUGCCUGGUGCCAGGUACACGGUCCUCUUCUCGCACGGCAAUGCCGUGGACCUGGGCCAGAUGAGCAGCUUCUACAUUGGCCUGGGCUCCCGCCUCCACUGCAACAUCUUCUCCUACGACUACUCCGGCUACGGUGCCAGCUCGGGCAGGCCUUCCGAGAGGAACCUCUAUGCCGACAUCGACGCCGCCUGGCAGGCCCUGUGCACCAGGAACCUAGGCCCAGAGCUGUGAGGGGGAGGCCAGAGCGUGCCCAGGGCCUCCACUGGGGAUGUGUCCUGUUCGUUUGAGU
rnacentral:lncRNA from 1 species